GUCUUCUGCGGCACAAGCUCGCUACAAUUGUUAUUGUUUGCGUGUACUGGAUGUGGACGCUGGAGGAGGAUGUGUCCUAAUCCAUACCCUUUCUCAGUGGUGAGAACCUGAGUUCCCCUCCAGAGAAAGCUACGUUUCACUUUCCUCGGCGAUCGCAGGGCCUGAGCACCGGGGGCAGAGGAUUCUUACUUGGGUGACGGUAUCUUUCUCACCGUGUGCAGUGCUUGGUGUUAACAUCUGUGUG